rnacentral:lncRNA from 1 species
AUGAACCCAAAUAUUAAGUGGUAGAUAUUAGUUAUUAGGGUUUUCUUACACCAUAUUAUAGGGUAUGAUACAUGUAAUAGCCUAAUUUUGCCCGGCCCAAUACACAUAAAUAAACCCAAACCAAACCAAAACAAAACAAAAACAAAAUAAAUAAAGUCCAUUUACAAAAAAAAAUACACUAGCCCAAAUUACAAGCCCAAACAUAGCCAAAAGACCAAAAAUUAAAUAAUUUUCAGAAACCCUAAAAAACCCUAACUCUAGCCGCCAUCGUUCCUCUACUUCGCCACGUUAGUGAGAAUGCU